UACGUAGGGUGCGAGCGUUGUCCGGAAUUAUUGGGCGUAAAGGGCUCGUAGGCGGUUUGUCGCGUCGGGUGUGAAAACACUGGGCUUAACUCAGUGCUUGCUUUCGAUACGGGCAGACUAGAGGUAUGCAGGGGAGAACGGAAUUCCUGGUGUAGCGGUGAAAUGCGCAGAUAUCAGGAGGAACACCGGUGGCGAAGGCGGUUCUCUGGGCAUUACCUGACGCUGAGGAGCGAAAGUGUGGGGAGCGAACAGG
rnacentral:rRNA from 1 species